UUUUGAUAUACAAACUACAGAGUUACCAUUAAAUCUAUUUUUCGAAAGUCUAGCUACUAUAUAGAUUACACGGUGGAUUACUGAUCUUUUUACGUUGAAUCUGUGGAAAGUUAGUAGUUUCCACCUUGUCAUUCAACUUGCAAGUAGAUUUAUCAUUGAAGUUUCUGACCUCCAAUUGUGCUUGUAUCCAUUUCUUAAUAUCUGCAAACUUGACAUCACUUGAAGACGCUGCAUCUGCAAGCACAACAAAGGAAUUGCAUAACUCGUUGUAUCGCUUCUGUUUGGGAGUUAAUUUCCAAGCAUCGGAAUUGACUUCUAUAUCUGUGUGGAUUCAUUUCACAUCCUUUCGUCACCUCUUUAGAAGGUGGAGAUUCAUUAUUACUUUUAAGAUCAGUAGUUUCGAGACGAGCAUUUUCAGGAGUACUUUCAAGAAAAUCUUUUUCCUCCUCCUUUGGCUUUGGUAUCCAUUUUUCUUCUUGUAUGUGAUCCGUUAUCACUGGGGAAUCACCAAAAACAUUAAUCACUUCACAACAUGUCUUCUUUAUUAACUCCUUUUGAAACUCGAGGAACUUUUCAUUAGUGUAAAUGCUUCGAACCUGUUUUUCCAUUUCAUAAUGAGUUUUGUUUGGGUUAUAGUAAAAAAUGACUUUGCAUCUGCCUUGAGCUCCUUCUUUAUUUUAUCUCUUAAUGCACCUUCGUAUUUCUCGACAAAUUCUUUCAAUGAUGUAACUUAUCAAAAAAUGAUUUCAUACUUUCUGAACGUUGAGUAGUCGACAUUCCUGCCCAAAAAUAUGUCUUCACGAAACAAGUAACCCAUCGUUCUCUGUCUUUAUACAGGUCACUCAACCAUUUACUCUUUCCCAAACUUUUAUACCUCUGAAACAUUUCACCCCAACCCUUUUCAAAAUCAGUUGGACUUUGU